rnacentral:rRNA from 1 species
GACGAACGCUGGCGGCGUGCUUAACACAUGCAAGUCGAACGGAAAGGCCCUGCCUGGGGUGCGUGAUCGACUGGCGAGCGGGUAAGAAACAGGUGAGUAACCUGCCCUUGACUGUGGGGUAAGUUCAGGAAACUGGAGCUAAGACCGGAUAGUAUCUCCUCCUGCGUUGUGGGGGUUGGAAAUUUUCGGCGGGUGGGGAGGGACGGGCGGCUGGUCAGCUUGUUGGUGGGGUAGUGGCUUACCUAGGCAUUGACGGGUAGCCGGCCUGAGGGGGUGACCGGCCAGACUGGGACGGAGAUACGGCCCGGACUGCUACGGGCGGGAGCAGUGGGGAAUAUAGAAUGCUGGGCGGAAGCAUGACGCAGGAAGGGCGCGUGCGGGAGGAAGGCCUGCGGGUUGUAAGUCGAUUUCGCCUGUGACGAAGGGAGAGUGACGGUAAUGGGAGAAGAAGCACCGGCCAACUACGUG